rnacentral:rRNA from 1 species
ACGUCAAAUCAUCAUGCCCCUUAUGUUCUGGGCUACACACGUGCUACAAUGGCCGGUACAGACGGAGGCGAAGCCGCGAGGCGGAGCAAAUCCGAAAAAGCCGGCCUCAGUUCGGAUUGCAGGCUGCAAUUCGCCUGCAUGAAGCCGGAAUCGCUAGUAAUCGCGGAUCAGCAUGCCGCGGUGAAUACGUUCCCGGGCCUU